ensembl:lncRNA
GAGGGGAGCAGGCGCUGGCCCAACGCGCCCCUCAGCCGCGGCGGCCACGGGCUGAGUGCGGCUGGGGACCCCGCGGCCGCUACAAAUGGCCGUCGGGGGGCGGGGCCGCACCGCCCCUCCUCUGCAUGCGAAUGAAGCGGAAUAUUCAUGAGGGGGCGGGGCCUCGGCAUGCGACACCGACUGGGCUGUUCGGGAGAGGGGGGUGCGGACGCUACUGACACUGAAUGAGGGAAAACGCUGCCGCUGCCGCUGCCGCCGCCGCCGCCACCGCCCCCUUCCCCAGUAUGCCAAUGAGAUGGAAUCUUCGUGAGGGGACGGGGCCACCCCGGCAAGAUGGAAUAGUCAUGCUAAUGAAAUGGAAUAUUCAGGAGGGGUGGGGCCCCGCAAUGCUUAUGAGUACAGGUUGGCAGAAAACCAAGGAGAUCUGUGUAAGCCAGAAGAUGGAAGAAGCUGUUUGGGAGCAAGCAUAUCAAGAGUUAAAGGCUAUUGCAGAAAGGGUACUGGCAGUCUUUACAGGUGGAGGGCCACGAUACUUAGUGGUGGAAGAUGAGAAGUGAACUGGAGCUUCAGACCAGUAUGGAGUUGGUCCACUGCUGCUGUUGCCACUGUGGUCUGGAGAGAACAUCUGAAGGAUCCAGAAUUCAGCCUCAUUGAAGGGUUUCAGACUCAUUUGCUUUUUUUGCCAGCAUUCACGUGGCUGACUGGAACUAAUCCCACUUCAGUGUCCUGUUGAAUGAGCAGAGACGAGGCAGACAGAUGAAAAAAGCACAUCUAGGACCAUAAGACUGUUGUCUCACCUGAAAGAGCUGGGAAGAUUUUGUGUAAUAAGCUAAAAUAUUCUGAGCCCUUCCUGAAGUAAUUCACCUAAUGACGUUCCUAAUGCACCUAAUAAUUCACCUACAGAUGUUCCUUUGUAGAACUUGGGGAGUUUUACAGUGUCAGUUUCCACUCUGCUCCCUUUCAACAUCUGCAUUCAGGCACCAACUCACCUAAAACUGAUUCAAGUGCCAAUAAUAGAAGACACACCGAUCUACCUAUUCUGUUUGGACAAGAUCAGGUUGAGGAUAAAGAAUGGAUGACUAAGGCUGAAGCUGAGCAAGACAGAAGUGAUGUUGGUGGGCAAAGACGAGCAUUUUAAAGAGUCCAAAACUAUAACCCAGUCUCCCUUUGUUGAAGACACAUGCCCACAACUAGUUAAUUCAUUUUGUAUAUGAAUAGUCUUAGAUUUUUUGCAGAUGCCCUUACAUAGCAGUAUCCAUGAGUAAUGUUGUCUAUUACAAGUUUGCUAGGAGAUUCUAUCCCAUCCUCACCAACAGCCUCGGAAGUACAAAUUUCUGUCACACUUUAGUAAAACCAAGACAGUACUAUAUACCUGGGCAUGACUUCUGCAGUCUCUUCUUCCUUAGCUGCACCAAACUCCUUCCUUUCAUGUCUUGAUUUGCCUGACAAACCCUCCAGGUGUAACCAGGUGAGACUAAUAGAGGUGAUCACCCUUUAGAAGCCUCCAUGACCUUUCCCAGCUGGAUUCAGUAUAGCUGAACAGCACCAUCUGGUCCC